rnacentral:ncRNA from 1 species
GCAGAGUAGAAAUAUGUGCGUUAAGUGCUGGCCGGACGGGGAGUUGCCGGUGGGACGAAAAGUGAAUAACUUGCGGUACAUAUUUUGCAUCCCGCUGC